rfam:Schistocephalus solidus strain NST_G2 genome assembly, scaffold: SSLN_contig0005429
GAGCCCAUGGCUCAAUGGUAGAGCGUUCGAAUCAAAUACCAAAAACUGCAGGUUCGAAUCCCGGGUGGUUCA